rnacentral:rRNA from 1 species
GACAGCAGUAGCCGCGGGAAAACGGAGUGGGCUAGCGUUGUUCGGAAUUACUGGGCGUAAAGCGCACGUAGGCGGCUUUGUAAGUUAGAGGUGAAAGCCUGGGGCUCAACUCCAGAAUUGCCUUUAAGACUGCAUCGCUUGAACGUCGGAGAGGUGAGUGGAAUUCCGAGUGUAGAGGUGAAAUUCGUAGAUAUUCGGAAGAACACCAGUGGCGAAGGCGGCUCACUGGACGACUGUUGACGCUGAGGUGCGAAAGCGUGGGGAGCAAACAGGAUUAGAUACCCGGGUAGUCCCUGUCUCUUAUAC